rnacentral:rRNA from 1 species
UACGGGGGGAGCAAGCGUUGUUCGGAUUUACUGGGCGUAAAGGGCGCGAGUAGGCGGUCAGCACAAGUCAGUUGUGAAAUCUCCGGGCUUAACUCGGAAAGGUCAAACUGAUACUGUGCGACUAGAGUGCAGAAGGGGCAACUGGAAUUCUCGGUGUAGCGGUGAAAUGCGUAGAUAAUCGAGAGGAACACCUGCGGCGAAGGCGGGGUUGCUGGGCUGAACACUGACGCUGAUGCGCGAAAGCCAGGGGAGCGAACGGGAUUAAGAGUAACCUUGUAAGUCCGACGACC